AGCUCAGAAAUAAGGGAGCACUAAAGAGUUAAAAGGGUUUUCAGAGAAGUUGGACUGCUGAGAGAAGGGGGGAGUUAAAAGGGAGCAACCCUCUUGUGCACAGACUUUCCAGAGCCUCCAGAGAUCAGUAAGCCCCAGGGAACUACAGGCCUAUGCAUAGGAUGCUUUUAUUUUAGAUCCAGUUUAAUUUAGAUGUUUGGGGUCUAAAUAGAUAUUAUUUACCCUAAAAUUGAUGUAUGGUGACAAGUUAUAGCUUGUCAUAGCAAACAGAGCUGCAAGAAAUGACCAAAAUUCAACCCUCAGAUUCAGCCUAAAAUUCAGCCUGAGAUCAAGGGAAUCUUAAGGUCAUAUUCAGAGACAAACUGUUUUCUGUGAGUCAUUAAAAUAUUUGAUAUCUGAGAAGGUACCAAAAUAGCUCAGACAUGCACCUAUAUGGGUCACACUUACCCACAUCUUACUGGUCCCUGGUAGCCAGCCUUUCUCCAGUUUAAUUUCAUCUCAUUACCCAAAGAAACGCCCCUUGUGCAUUUAUUUUUUUAAUGAAAUGCUGUCUCUAUUGGAAUAUCAACUCUGUAGGGGUUGCCAGGACAUAUAAAAAAGAACAGCCAUAAACUAUGUUCAUUAUUAUUGCAAUUUAAUACUAGGUCUAGUACUGCUUCCAGAAAGCAGGAGAGGGAGAACAGAACUUAACAUGUCCCUGACCUGUCCAGAGGGACAAACAGAGAGCUUUUAUUUUAUUUGUUUCUGCAGUGACUCAGUCUGUAGUAACUGGGUUAAAGUCCACUUAGAAACGAAUAGAACAAAAGGCCUCCUGUUAGUGCUGGACAUUUUCCCUCUUCAGAUAUCACCAGAAGGAUUUAAAAAAAAAAAAAAAAAAAAAAGAAAGAAAGAAAAAAAGCCCUCCAGAAGAAUGCAGGAAACCACAAGCUUAUGGGAACGUAGCAGCACUUUGGAAAGGAAAACACUGCCUCAGACUUUCAUCUGCAGGGCUUGUUUCCCUUCCCCCCCCCCCCCCCAUUUUUUCCUUACCUUCUUUUAAUCUCCUUACAGCUAGAAGCAUUUGCCAGGUCAACACAGAGCCUGGAGAAAAGGCUGCUGGGGGGAGCAGUUAGGUUGCAGGAGGUCAUUGCCAGAUCCCAGACAGAGAAAAAAGAAAACUGGCUUGUGCAGAUCAGGGUAGUGUGCAAGGGGGCUCCGGCACAGAGGGAGUGAGCUUUGGGGCAGCUGGAGCUUGCAACCUCAUAUCCCAGCGUUACUUGCCAGGCUGAGGGUCUUACUGGGGUUAGAACCCUGGAUCCUACAGGCUGUACUACAGGGGGAAAAAAGGGUCAUUUUCAUAAUCUUUAUUUGGUGUGUCUAGUCCUUUUUUUUAAAUGUAGUUCAGUGACAUCUAAGUAACAAAUUGCAUAAUGUUCUUCAAGAUACAAAAAGUACCUGAAAUGCUUUCUGCCUUCCAUUCUAAGUGUUCUCAAGGCAUGCCUGUGUUUUCGUUAUAAAGCAAACAUUUUCCAGCAAGCAUUCACUGGAUUUCAUUAAUUUUCACUUAAUCUUUUUCCUGAGGAAUGUGAGCUGACAGUACAGAAAAAGCAUGUUGACAUUAUAUUUUGCAUAUGAGAAUAAGCACUUUAUUGAAUUUUCCAAAACUUUCCUGUCCCCUCUCAAAAAAAAUAAAAGAGAACAAACCAAAAAAGACCCCCAAACCUGAGGAAAGUUGCAGCUGUCUAAAAUAAAAUAGAAAGUGGAGUUACUUUUUACUUCUUAUCUAUAGCUUUAGCUGUUACUGUGAUCCUGGUUUGUAAAAAAGAUAUAUUGCUUAAUGUUAGGUGACCUAGAUAGGGGAAACAGCUUGGUGAAUGGUGUAAUAAGCAACGUGUUGGGAGUAAGGGAGGAAUGGGAAUGCAUAGCUAGAGCUGGACCGCAUAAGCCAACUGUUAGUUUAAUUUAGACUGCUGCAGAACCAUAAUCUCAAGUGGUAAGCUUUUGAGUGAGUUGACCAAGACCACAUAGCACAUAAGCAGUUACUUUAUUUAGUUAGAUGACUGAUUCUGUACUGAGUUACAAAAGUUUGUUUUUUGUGUGUUCAAAAUAAGUAGGUAAA